rnacentral:rRNA from 1 species
GACGAACGCUGGCGGCGUGCUUAACACAUGCAAGUCGAACGGAAAGGCCCUGCUUUUGUGCGGUGCUCGAGUGGCGAACGGGUGAGUAACACGUGAGUAACCUGCCCUUGACUUUGGGAUAACUUCAGGAAACUGGGGCUAAUACCGGAUAGGAGCUCCUGCUGCAUGGUGGGGGUUGGAAAGUUUCGGCGGUUGGGGAUGGACUCGCGGCUUAUCAGCUUGUUGGUGGGGUAGUGGCUUACCAAGGCUUUGACGGGUAGCCGGCCUGAGAGGGUGACCGGCCACAUUGGGACUGAGAUACGGACCAGACUCCUACGGGAGGCAGCAGUGGGGAAUAUUGCACAAUGGGCGGAAGCCUGAUGCAGCAACGCCGCGUGCGGGAUGACGGCCUUCGGGUUGUAAACCGCUUUCGCCUGUGACGAAGCGUGAGUGACGGUAAUGGGUAAAGAAGCACCGGCUAACUACGUG